rnacentral:tRNA from 1 species
AAGAAGGUGGCAGAGUGGUUAUGCGAUUGGCUUGAAACCAAUACAUGGGGGUUCAAUUCCCUCCUUUCUCG